rnacentral:lncRNA from 1 species
UGGAGGGCCAGGGCUCAGUUCAGAGCUGGGAAGCAGCGUGGCCCGACGGCCAGUGCAGUGCUCACUCCAGCUUCCGCAGGGAAUGGAAGCCGGGGUCAGGGCCAGGGUUCGGGUGGGAAUCUAGAUUCCCAUAGGCAGUCGCUUUGUGUGGGUGAGAAGCAAGGACUCAGGCUUGGCCAUGGAGACGGAAGGUUUGAAAAGCUGGAGAGACAGUCUGAAGGGAGGUGGGCUCUGGAGGCAAGACUAACCAUUGGUAUACUGUUGUCAGACUCGGGUGAGGGAAGGGGUCAGGCAUCCAGAGGCGGAGCUGAUCAAGGUGGGCCCUGCUGUCUGUGUGUGUGGUGUGUCUGUGUGGUGUGUCUGUGUGUGUGGUGUGUCUGUGUGUGUGGUGUGUCUGUGUGUGUGGUGUGUCUGUGGUGCGUCUGUGUGUGUGGUGUCUGUGGUGUGUCUGUGUGUGUGGUGUGUCUGUGUGUGUGGUGUGUCUGUGUGUGUGGUGUCUGUGGUGUGUCUGUGUGUGUGGUGUCUGUGGUGUGUCUGUGUGUGUGGUGUGUCUGUGUGUGUGGUGUGUCUGUGUGUGUGGUGUGUCUGUGGUGCGUCUGUGUGUGUGGUGUGUCUGUGGUGUGUCUGUGUGUGUGGUGUGUCUGUGUGUGUGGUGUGUCUGUGUGUGUGGUGUGUCUGUGGUGCGUCUGUGUGUGUGGUGUCUGUGGUGUGUCUGUGUGUGUGGUGUGUCUGUGUGUGUGGUGUGUCUGUGUGUGUGGUGUGUCUGUGUGUGUGGUGUCUGUGGUGUGUCUGUGUGUGUGGUGUGUCUGUGGUGUGUCUGUGUGUGUGGUGUGUCUGUGUGUGUGGUGUGUCUGUGUGUGUGGUGUGUCUGUGGUGUGUCUGUGUGUGUGGUGUGUCUGUGUGUGUGGUGUGUCUGUGUGUGUGGUGUGUCUGUGGUGCGUCUGUGUGUGUGGUGUGUCUGUGGUGUGUCUGUGUGUGUGGUGUGUCUGUGUGUGUGGUGUGUCUGUGUGUGGUGUGUGUUUGUGUGUGUGUUGUGUCUAUGCAUGUCUUUCUCUGUGUGUGGUAUGUGUCUCUGUGUGUUUGGUAUGUAUGGGUCUCUGUCGGGGGGUGUCUAUGUGUGUGUCUGUGUGUGUGUGUGUGCACAUGUGCACACGAUGGCAGGAAGAGCUAAAAGCCUUUCAGAAAAAUCCAGUAGGGGUGGGGGGUGGAAAGAGGCAGCCUUCGCCAAACACUAACAACCUGAAAAUUAAAAUAAGCUGUGCCUCUGGCUGUGACAUCAUCACUCCCUUCACAAAGUGUCCAAUAGGGCAUUUCCUGGUCAUAACAAAGGAAUGGUGA